rnacentral:rRNA from 1 species
CGGCGGACGGGUGAGUAACACGUGGAUAACCUACCUAUAAGACUGGGAUAACUUCGGGAAACCGGAGCUAAUACCGGAUAAUAUAUUGAACCGCAUGGUUCAAUAGUGAAAGACGGUUUUGCUGUCACUUAUAGAUGGAUCCGCGCCGCAUUAGCUAGUUGGUAAGGUAACGGCUUACCAAGGCAACGAUGCGUAGCCGACCUGAGAGGGUGAUGGCCACACUGGAACUGAGACACGGUCCAG